UACAGAGGUCUCGAGCGUUGUUCGGAUUCAUUGGGCGUAAAGGGUGCGUAGGUGGCGUGGUAAGUCUGGUGUGAAAUCCCGGGGCUCAACCCCGGAACUGCACUGGAUACUGCCAUGCUUGAGUACUGGAGAGGAGAUUGGAAUUUACGGUGUAGCAGUGAAAUGCGUAGAUAUCGGGAGGAACACCUGUGGCGAAGGCGGCUCGCUGGGCCGGUCCUGACGCUGAUAUGCGAAGGCGUGGGGAGCGAACGGG
rnacentral:rRNA from 1 species